CACGUGGGUAAUCCACCCUCGAGUGGGGAAUAAGCUUCCGAAAGGGGGUCUAAUGCCGCAUAACGUUUCAUAACGAUGGUUAUGAAACCAAAGCCCAAAAGGCGCUCGAGGAGGAGCCUGCGUCCUAUCAGCUUGUUGGCAGGGUAAUGGCCUACCAAGGCUAUGACGGGUAGCCGGCCUGAGAGGGUGUCCGGCCACACUGGAACUGAGACACGGUCCAGACUCCUACGGGAGGCAGCAGUGGGGAAUUUUGCGCAAUGGGGGAAACCCUGAAGCAGCGACGCCGCGUGGAGGAUGACGGCCUUCGGGUUGUAAACUCCUGUCAGAAGGGACGAAAUCCCGCAAGGGACUGACGGUACCUUCGGAGGAAGCCCCGGCUAACUACGUG
rnacentral:rRNA from 1 species